UCAGACCAUUUUGCCUAUGCUUGCAGGUUCUAGUGUGCUGGUGUGAUGAACAGUGGCGCACGGUGUGUAUGGCCACUCAAUAGUCGACAAGGCACUCACUUGCUCAGGUGCGUAUGAGGCUGUUAGCCGAUAUUAGUAGAUUUCGAAGUGGCCAUUCAGUGGUCGUUUGAUACUAAGAUAAUGAUGUAUAUGAUGUUAUGGUGUAUUGGUGCAUGGGGCUGUUUGGUGGCCGACAUUUGUGAUUGCAGUUGCUGUUGGAGUGAGACCCUCGAUGCACCAAUGGUGUGUAUGUGUGGUCUCUAUGGGUCGGUGUUGGCAAGUUGGAAUAUGUGAGACUGGUUGGUUGUAUUGGAAGAUUAUAUGCGUGAGUGUAUUGACUGGUGGAUUAGUAUUGAAUUAGUGUGGUACUAGGGUCAAAAGUAUGGAAUGUUUUCACGUUCUGUGGUUGGUGGGUUGAGGUGGCAAACAGUUGAGGGUUAGGUAAAGGUAAAAAGAAGCCGAGUUUAUCAUUUGCUGGCAUAAAAUGAGGAAAAUAGAGUGAUAGCGGUAGUAAGUAAUGAUUGGAAUUAAAUGUGGGCAUGAGGAAGGUAUUGAGUGGGGAGAAAGUGUGGUUAGUAAGAAAGAGAAGAAUGGUGCUUAGAAUGAAGUAGAUAUAUAAUAUUGGGGAAGAAGUUUAGCUAAUUGUCAUUCUUUAGUUUUUAGUUCUAAAUUUUAUCUUACUAAGUUAUGUAUACUCAUUACUUUCAUUUUCAGAUACUUUGAGGCAGGAAUCAGAACCGAAAUGCUUAACAACUGAGCACCGAACCUAAAGGAAAUAAAAAAUUACUAUUCAAAUUGAGAUAUAAUAGUAUAACAAAAUAGUGGUAGAACUUUCGUGCGUUUAGUUAUGUUUGUAGAAUUAUUUUGAGCCUAGAAUUGUAUCUGUUGUAAUGAGA
rnacentral:lncRNA from 1 species